UGAAACUUCAUGGGUAGAUUGAUCAUGACUCGCAGAUGACCCCUAUUGAUUUUGAGGUCACUAGGUCAAAGGUCAAGGUCACGGUGACCCGAAAUAGUAAAAUGAUUUUCGGAUGAUAACUCAAGAACGCAUAUGCCUAGGAUCAUGAAACUUCAUAGGUAGAUUGAUCAUGACUCACAGAUGACCCCUAUUGAUUUUGAGGUCACAAGGUCAAAGGUCAAGGUCACGGUGAC